ensembl:lncRNA
GCCAAAUUCCCCCUGUAACCAGCCACCAUUAGCAUUAGAUCACACUGUAACCAGUUUUCUCUCUCUGCACUCUUGUCAUGAGGAUAACAAAGAAUGAAGCCAACAGGACAGAGACUGAAAACACCAAGAUAAGAAUAAUUAAAAUUGUUUUCAAGAUUUGCAAGGAUAUCCAGUGGACAGCUUUUACAAUGUUCAGUUCCAGGUACCUUGGAGAAAUGACUAGAAUCUCCAGUCAUUGUCCUAUUGUCACCUCAGAUUGUAGGAAAAGCAGAGCCUUGCAGACCACACCAGGAUGAGGUCACCCUACUCCCAAGUGGGAGCAAUUACCCCAUGUCAACGUAAGCAAGAACCACAGUCAUCCCACAGUGGGAACUAAAUUGCCUUCUCAAGUGAUGACCUCUCUCCCAGAACCUCACAGAACCAAUUCUGCAAUAACAAUCCACCAGAUCAACCAGAAUUAUCCACCUUGCUAACUAUGCAACUUCCCAACCCUUACCUUUGUUCCUUUUUUCUAUAAACCUCCAAUAUUUCUAUUAGCAUCUGAAAGACCAUGCACCUCUUUAGUCAUCCUUCCCAACAUGGCCUUGCUGAUUUUCUGCCCUUCAUCACUGUUCGCCUCCUACAUUAGUAUUUUGGGAAAAGCAGCCAAUCCUAGUCUAUUGGGACCCCUGGAGCCAGAGCUUAUGCCAUAAAACUCUGGUAAUACCCUUUCUCACCAUCCAAUCAACAAGCAGUCUCUCUCUUAUCUCUCCUUAUAGUUUCCCCAGCUACUGAUCAAAAA